rnacentral:lncRNA from 1 species
GCAGUUAUGUUUUUACUUUAAAUGGAUUUCAUCAUUUCAUAAGGCAUUUUAAUUUUUAAGUGAUUUCAUCUGCUUAUUAUUUAUUUAAUUUUGUUUUGCAGGUGGGAACUUUUGAAGGAGAUCAAUCGACGUGGAGCUAGUCAGAACAUUCGUAAGCUAAAAUUGCUUGAUGGAUAAGCAAAGAGAGGGAGAUAGUAGCUAUCAUAGAAGGUCACGAUUAGGGUUAGAUAUCAAAAUCCAUGAAGGUUAUUGUCAAUAUAUCGUGGUUUCCUAAUCGCUUCACUCAUCGCUAAACCUUCUGCCAUAAGUGGUGACAUAACAAAGUUAGUGGAGCUUACCCUUUUAAGUUCGUAUACUCAAAGGCAUGCCACUUAUGCAUGCUUCUCUAACACAAACAUAUACAUAUAUAUAAUAUUCAUAUUUAUUAUUGCAAUGAUAAUGUAUAUAUGGGAUAUGUUUGCUUGUUAUUCGUCUUUCAUAUUUAUAAUUUUGAUGAAAUUUAAAGUUGAUAUAUGGUGUUAUUAUAUUAUGCGUGUUUUGUGUUUUGAGUUAAUUCUCAGUCUUAAUUUGUACUUAUUUGAUAUCAUUCCAGGUCUUGAACAGGUGAAAAAGUAAAGAAGAGAGUGCCAUGAAAGAAGAUGCCAUUUUGGAAUAUCUAACGCAGAACAGCCAGUCGGAUCAAUCCGAAGGUUAUUCCCAAAGAGAGCAAGCGACUGACUGUUC